rnacentral:rRNA from 1 species
AUUCUUAAGUCGAUGCAAGCCCGUCACUGAGUCAUGGACUAGACUAGUCAGACGAACGGAUCAUGUACGAUGAUGGUAGGAUUGAGACUUCAAUUGCGAAGCGCCUUUCUGUUCUUAACUGAACUUAAGCCGCAAGCUGGGGAUCAACUAGAUUAGAUGCCUCGUUCAGUCCCCCCCGUAAUCGAUGAGUGCUACGUUGUAGGGGUUUCCGUCCCCUAGUCUCGCAGCUACCGCUUUAAGCACUCCCCUUGCGGAGUACGGUCGCAAGACUUGAAAUCUCAAAGAAGUGACGGGCGGCCCGCACCAGCCGUUGCAGCAUGUGUUUUAUUCGAAAGCAACGCGAAGAACCUUCCAGCUCUUGACAUCCCGUUGACCACUGUAGAGAUAUGGUUUUCCUUCGGGGGCAACGGUGACAGGUGGUGCAUGGUUGUCGUCAGCUCGUGUCGUGAGAUGUUGGGUUAAGUCCCGCAACGAGCGCAACCCUUGAUCUUAGUUGCCAUCAUUUAGUUGGGCACUCUAAGGUGACUGCCGGUGACAAACCGGAGGAAGGUGGGGAUGACGUCAAAUCAUCAUGCCCCUUAUGACCUGGGCUACACACGUGCUACAAUGGACGAUACAAACGGUUGCCAACUCGCGAGAGGGAGCUAAUCCGAUAAAGUCGUUCUCAGUUCGGAUUGUAGGCUGCAACUCGCCUACAUGAAGCCGGAAUCGCUAGUAAUCGCGGAUCAGCAUGCCGCGGUGAAUACGUUCCCGGGCCUUGUACACACCGCCCGUCACACCACGAGAGUUUGUAACACCCGAAGUCGGUGAGGUAACCUUUUGGACCAGCCGCGAAG